UGUUUUAUGUCAAGCAACAUGGUCUUCGUUCUGGUGUUCGACGUGGCGAUGUGUCUUGAUCCUACUAGGUCAAAGGAUGGCUAUGGAUCGAAACCUGGCUGAGGUCUAUUGCUACCUAUGCUAUUGACCAAGCCGCCAGUGGUAAAGGGACGCCUCCCGUAAUCCUGGUUGGAUCUCACUUGGAUAAAGUUUCUCAAGAUAAACAAAAACAGGAAGAAGCAUUUGGCGAAGUGCUGAACAAAUUGUACGAGAACCCUCAACUAAGUGCAAUUAUGGAAAAUCACGUACAGGAAAUGUAUCCAAUCGCCCACCU